GCCGGAGGCGGAGGCGCCAACCCCGGAGCCCCACCCAGUCGAGGCCGGCCUUUCCGCGAGCCCGCCCCCACACGUUCAGGCCCGUGGCUGCCCCUGGGAGAAGGUCCAGGCGCCUCGAUGGCACUCAGGGCCCGCCCCACAAGCAUCACCAGCCUUGCCAUCUGCAGUUCCCUUCCCCAGCAACGCGGGGGCCCUUCCCACAGUCUCAUGGAGCCUUCCAUCUUCAGAGUCAAUGAUCUGCAGCCCUCCAGGCCCAGCCCGUGGCAACCAUCACAUGCAGCUGUGACUCAGGCGGGAAGUAGUGAGUGGCAGGACAAGGGCGUGGUGCUGACAGCCAGGCAGGAAGCAGGGGGAACAACGGGACAGAGGCAGGGGCACAGCCCAGGAGCAGCUCCAGCAGAGAAGGGGGCCAGGAGCAGAGAUCCUCUCCCAGAAGGAGGUCCAGUCUUGCCACAGCCCUGAUGUCCACUCUGAUCCUUCCUGAGAUCCUCAAGAGCUUCAGCUCCUUUCCUGCCCUUUCUCUGGCACCUCAUCUGUGAAAUGGGACAACACUGUCUCCUUCUGAGAGAUGGAGUACAGAUUUCCCCAAACCUCUCAUUUCCUGCAACCUGCAGAGAAGACUGCUAUGGUCAUCUCAUUUGAAGGAGAGCUUCUGAAGGUUUUCAGAUAAAGAGCAGAUGAAGAGCAAUGGACAGCGGCUAACAGGCUGAUUCAGAGCUGUGGUGGUUCCCUGCUGGGACUCAGCAUAACCUGGGACAGGAGUCAGAGCUACUGGCUCCUCU